UACGUAGGGGGCAAGCGUUGUCCGGAUUUAUUGGGCGUAAAGAGCGUGUAGGCGGCCAUACAGGUCAGCUGUGAAAACUCGAGGCUCAACCUCGAGACGUCGGUUGAAACCGUAUGGCUAGAGUCCGGAAGAGGAGAGUGGAAUUCCCGGUGUAGCGGUGAAAUGCGCAGAUAUCGGGAAGAACACCCGUGGCGAAGGCGGCUCUCUGGGACGGUACUGACGCUGAGACGGCGAAAAGCGUGGGGAGCGAGCAGG
rnacentral:rRNA from 1 species